UUUGUAGGCUUUACCUGUCCAGCAUCCUUCUGGCACUGUCUUUGAGGUUUCUUCCUUCAACUCUGCACAACUUUGACACCUGAAUAACACAUGCCAAUGUCAGGCGGGUAGUAUUAUAUGCGUCCGUGUACAAGUGUUUACCAACCUUAAA